rnacentral:tRNA from 1 species
UUUGGUGCAGUAGGCAGCACAUCAGUCUCACAAGCUGAAGCUCCUGAGUUCGAUCCUCAGAA